UGGGGAAUAUUGCGCAAUGGCCGCAAGGCUGACGCAGCGACGCCGCGUGCGGGAGGAAGCCCUUUGGGGUGUAAACCGCUGUCAGGGGGGAAGAAACCCGUCCUCGAGAAUAUCUUGGGCGAUUGACGGUACCCCCAGAGGAAGCACCGGCUAACUCCGUGCCAGCAGCCGCGGUAAUACGGAGGGUGCAAGCGUUGUUCGGAAUUACUGGGCGUAAAGCGCGGGCAGGCGGUUCGUUAAGUCCCCUGUGAAACUCCGAGGCUCAACUUCGGACAUGCAGGAGAUACUGGCGGGCUAGAGAUCGGAAGAGGCAUGCGGAAUUCCUGGUGUAGCGGUGGAAUGCGUAGAUAUCAGGAAGAACACCUGUGGCGAAGGCGGCCUGCUGGGCCGAUUCUGACGCUGAUCCGCGAAAGCGUGGGGAGCAAACAGGAUUAGAUACCCCUGUAGUCC
rnacentral:rRNA from 1 species